GAUGAACGCUGGCGGCGUGCCUAAUACAUGCAAGUCGAGCGAACAGACGAGGAGCUUGCUCCUCUGACGUUAGCGGCGGACGGGUGAGUAUCACGUGGAUAACCUACCUAUAAGACUGGGAUAACUUCGGGAAACCGGAGCUAAUACCGGAUAACAUGUUGAACCGCAUGGUUCAACAGUGAAAGACGGUCUUGCUGUCACUUAUAGAUGGAUCCGCGCCGCAUUAGCUAGUUGGUAAGGUAACGGCUUACCAAGGCAACGAUGCGUAGCCGACCUGAGAGGGUGAUCGGCCACACUGGAACUGAGACACGGUCCAGACUCCUACGGGAGGCAGCAGUAGGGAAUCUUCCGCAAUGGGCGAAAGCCUGACGGAGCAACGCCGCGUGAGUGAAGAAGGUCUUCGGAUCGUAAAACUCUGUUAUUAGGGAAGAACAAAUGUGUAAGUAACUAUGCACGUCUUGACGGUACCUAAUCAGAAAGCCACGGCUAACUACGUG
rnacentral:rRNA from 1 species